CCUAGGGGAUGCAGCAGUGAGGAAUAUUGGUCAAUGGACGAGAGUCUGAACCAGCCAAGUAGCGUGAAGGAUGACUGCCCUAUGGGUUGUAAACUUCUUUUAUAUGGGAAUAAAACGUUCCACGUGUGGGAUUUUGUAUGUACCAUAUGAAUAAGGAUCGGCUAACUCCGUGCCAGCAGCCGCGGUAAUACGGAGGAUCCGAGCGUUAUCCGGAUUUAUUGGGUUUAAAGGGAGCGUAGGUGGAUUGUUAAGUCAGUUGUGAAAGUUUGCGGCUCAACCGUAAAAUUGCAGUUGAAACUGGCAGUCUUGAGUACAGUAGAGGUGAGCGGAAGUCGUGGUGUAGCGGUGAAAUGCUUAGAUAUCACGAAGAACCCCGAUUGCGAAGGCAGCUUACUAAACUGUGACUGACAUUGAUGCUCGAAAGUGUGGGUAUCAAACAGGAUUAGAUACCCCAGUAGUC
rnacentral:rRNA from 1 species